GAUGAACGCUGGCGGCGUGCCUAAUACAUGCAAGUCGAGCGAACGGACGAGACGCUUGCUUCUCUGAUGUUAGCGGCGGACGGGUGAGUAACACGUGGAUAACCUACCUAUAAGACUGGGAUAACUUCGGGAAACCGGAGCUAAUACCGGAUAAUAUUUUGAACCGCAUGGUUCAAAAGUGAAAGACGGUCUUGCUGUCACUUAUAGAUGGAUCCGCGCUGCAUUAGCUAGUUGGUAAGGUAACGGCUUACCAAGGCAACGAUGCAUAGCCGACCUGAGAGGGGGAUCGGCCACACUGGAACUGAGACGCGGACCAGACUCCUGCGGGAGGCAGCAGUAGGGAAUCGUCCGCAGUGGGCGAAAGCCUUACGGAGCAACGCCGCGUGAGUGAUGAAGGUCUUCGGAGCGUAAAGCUCUGUUAUUAGGGAAGAACAUAUGUGUAAGGAACUGUGCACAUCUUGACGGUACCUAAUCAGAAAGCCACGGCUAACUACGUG
rnacentral:rRNA from 1 species